UCACGCAGUACACUUCCGCGGACUAUAUAAAUCCCAGUUUUAUCUUGAUUCGUUCAUUAAGAAGGGACAAUCAAGAAUUUUAAAAAAAGAAAGGCAGACAGUUAAAGAAAGAAGAGAAAAGUGAAUUCAGUGGAGGUAUUAGCUGUUUUAACAAAAAGCCAAUAAAGAUGCCUAGGUUCGGAGUUGCCUUAUUUUCCCUGGUUUUAGUUAUCCUAUUAUCAACGUUCACAGAAACAAAAUCUAUUCACAACAGCCAUAGCAGAGUGAGAAGAUCUGGAGCUGAUCAAAGAAUAGCAGAGUUACAGGCCCUUAUAGCUUUAACAAAUAACGGAGGUCUUGUGGCUCAUGGCCAAUUUGAUCCACUUAGGAUUGGAAAACGAAAUGGCGAUGAUAUCUUGGGUGAUUUAAAUCUUUCUGACCGAUAUCAACUCUUGAGAUCUUUGAUACAGAAAGCAGCAGAAACCAAAGCGUAAGGACGUCAGAUUUCGUUUGAUUUUCGAGAGUUAGAAUUUUUGAUACUCAGCCCAGUUUUUCAGUGACGUCAUAUUACAAACCACCCUUCUGAUGUACAGACUACCAAAUUAAACAGACCUUUUAUAUUUUUAUCAUGUUUCACUUAUUUUGUGAUGCAUUGCACUACAAAAGAAGAAUUACUGGUUAUAUUGUUAAAUAUUGAUUCUACGAUCAAGUAUUAUAUUUACAAUGAUAGGAAUGAUGCAAUACAAUACAAUUUAUUAUUUUAUGAAUAAGUAGCUUUUGCUUUCAAAUUUGUUAUAAACAGGGUAUCUAAGUGACUUAUUUGCUUUUCCUAAAUUGGGGUCAUAUUUUGUUAUAACAUUCUUUUAAGGAUAACGUCGUCUAAACGAUCCAACUCAUUUGAAUUCUGUAUUGAAAUUCAUAUUACAGGUAGUCUAUUACACCAAUUUCUAGUCAAAAUGACGCAUACCAAAACCACCGAACUACUUUAGCCAUUUUAUGUGAUCCUGGUUUAUUUUAGUUAUCUGUAACGACUUGCGCAUGUCCAUUGGGCUAUUGAAGAUUGUUGGCUUCAUUACUUGAAUGAACUGAAUUUUCUCUAAGCUUAGUGUCGGUCCCACUGUAGAUUACUAGCAUUUAUUUAUCUAAUCUUUGGCAACAUUUUACAAGAAGAAAAAAACCCAAAGAAAGCAUUUUAAGUACAUGUAUUUUUAUUGACCACAACAGAUAUUUUACUUUACAAGACUAUUGGUGCAAUAUUUCUUGUGUUCUUAACCUUCUCUGUUAAAUCUUCUUUGGUAGACUUAAAUUGGUUUGGUAUAUUUUUUGUACAUUAAAAAUCCCUGAAAUGCAUAAUAUUCGCCAAUAAAAUUGUGAACGUUA